CUAACUACGUGCCAGCAGCCGCGGUAAUACGUAGGCAGCGAGCGUUGUUCGGAGUUACUGGGCGUAAAGGGUGUGUAGGCGGUUUUCUAAGUUUGGUGUGAAAUCUCCCGGCUCAACCGGGAGGGUGCGCCGAAAACUGGGAGACUAGAGUGCGGGAUGGGAGAGUAGAAUUCCUGGUGUAGCGGUGAAAUGCGUAGAUAUCAGGAGGAAUACCGGUGGUGUAGACGGCUCUCUGGACCGCAACUGACGCUGAGACACGAAAGCGUGGGUAGCAAACAGGAUUAGAUACCCUGGUAGUCCACGCCCUAAACGAUGCAUAUUUGGUGUAGGUCAUUCAGUUGAUCUGUGCCGGAGCUAACGCGUUAAAUAUGCCGCCUGGGGAGUACAGUCGCAAGGCUGAAACUCAAAGGAAUUGACGGGGGCCCGCACAAGCGGUGGAGCAUGUGGUUCAAUUCGACGCAACGCGAAGAACCUUACCUGGGCUCGAACGGCUGGUUAACGGAGGUGGAAACACUUCUACUCCGCAAGGAGGUCCAGUCGAGGUGCUGCAUGGCUGUCGUCAGCUCGUGUCGUGAGAUGUUGGGUUAAGUCCCGCAACGAGCGCAACCCUUGUCCUGUGUUGCCAUCCCGCAAGGGGGGACUCGCAGGAGACCGCCAGCGAUAAGUUGGAGGAAGGUGGGGAUGACGUCAAGUCCUCAUGGCCUUUAUGUCCAGGGCUACACACGUGCUACAAUGGCCGGUACAAUGCGCAGCUAAGCCGCGAGGUGGAGCCAAUCGCAAAAAACCGGUCUCAGUUCGGAUUGCAGGCUGCAACUCGCCUGCAUGAAGCUGGAAUCGCUAGUAAUGCCGUAUCAGAACGAUGGCGUGAAUACGUUCCCGGGCCUUGUACACACCGCCCGUA
rnacentral:rRNA from 1 species